GGGUUGUGAGGUUAAGCGACUAAGCGUACACGGUGGAUGCCCUGGCAGUCAGAGGCGAUGAAGGGCGUGCUAAUCUGCGAUAAGCGCCGGUAAGGUGAUAUGAACCGUUAUAACCGGCGAUACCCGAAUGGGGAAACCCAGUGUGACUCGUCACACUAUCAUUAACUGAAUCCAUAGGUUAAUGAGGCGAACCGGGGGAACUGAAACAUCUAAGUACCCCGAGGAAAAGAAAUCAACCGAGAUUCCCCCAGUAGCGGCGAGCGAACGGGGAGGAGCCCAGAGCCUGAAUCAGCAUGUGUGUUAGUGGAAGCGUCUGGAAAGGCGCGCGAUACAGGGUGACAGCCCCGUACACAAAAGCGCAUGUGCUGUGAGCUCGAUGAGUAGGGCGGGACACGUGGUAUCCUGUCUGAAUAUGGGGGGACCAUCCUCCAAGGCUAAAUACUCCUGACUGACCGAUAGUGAACCAGUACCGUGAGGGAAAGGCGAAAAGAACCCCGGCGAGGGGAGUGAAAAAGAACCUGAAACCGUGUACGUACAAGCAGUGGGAGCACAGGUUUACCUGUGUGACUGCGUACCUUUUGUAUAAUGGGUCAGCGACUUAUAUUCUGUAGCAAGGUUAACCGAAUAGGGGAGCCGGAGGGAAACCGAGUCUUAAUUGGGCGUUAAGUUGCAGGGUAUAGACCCGAAACCCGGUGAUCUAGCCAUGGGCAGGUUGAAGGUUGGGUAACACUAACUGGAGGACCGAACCGACUAAUGUUGAAAAAUUAGCGGAUGACCUGUGGCUGGGGGUGAAAGGCCAAUCAAACCGGGAGAUAGCUGGUUCUCCCCGAAAGCUAUUUAGGUAGCGCCUCGUGAAUUCAUCUCCGGGGGUAGAGCACUGUUUCGGCUAGGGGGCCAUCCCGGCUUACCAACCCGAUGCAAACUGCGAAUACCGGAGAAUGUUAUCACGGGAGACACACGGCGGGUGCUAACGUCCGUCGUGAAGAGGGAAACAACCCAGACCGCCAGCUAAGGUCCCAAAGUCAUGGUUAAGUGGGAAACGAUGUGGGAAGGCCCAGACAGCCAGGAUGUUGGCUUAGAAGCAGCCAUCAUUUAAAGAAAGCGUAAUAGCUCACUGGUCGAGUCGGCCUGCGCGGAAGAUGUAACGGGGCUAAACCAUGCACCGAAGCUGCGGCAGCGACGCUGAUGCGUUGUUGGGUAGGGGAGCGUUCUGUAAGCCUGCGAAGGUGGCCUGUGAGGGUUGCUGGAGGUAUCAGAAGUGCGAAUGCUGACAUAAGUAACGAUAAAGCGGGUGAAAAGCCCGCUCGCCGGAAGACCAAGGGUUCCUGUCCAACGUUAAUCGGGGCAGGGUGAGUCGACCCCUAAGGCGAGGCCGAAAGGCGUAGUCGAUGGGAAACGGGUUAAUAUUCCCGUACUUGGUGUUACUGCGAAGGGGGGACGGAGAAGGCUAUGUUGGCCGGGCGACGGUUGUCCCGGUUUAAGCGUGUAGGUGUGUGUUCCAGGUAAAUCCGGUUCACUUUAACACUGAGGCGUGACGACGAGGCACUACGGUGCUGAAGCAACAAAUGCCCUGCUUCCAGGAAAAGCCUCUAAGCAUCAGGUAACAUCAAAUCGUACCCCAAACCGACACAGGUGGUCAGGUAGAGAAUACCAAGGCGCUUGAGAGAACUCGGGUGAAGGAACUAGGCAAAAUGGUGCCGUAACUUCGGGAGAAGGCACGCUGACACGUAGGUGAAGUGAUUUACUCAUGGAGCUGAAGUCAGUCGAAGAUACCAGCUGGCUGCAACUGUUUAUUAAAAACACAGCACUGUGCAAACACGAAAGUGGACGUAUACGGUGUGACGCCUGCCCGGUGCCGGAAGGUUAAUUGAUGGGGUCAGCGCAAGCGAAGCUCCUGAUCGAAGCCCCGGUAAACGGCGGCCGUAACUAUAACGGUCCUAAGGUAGCGAAAUUCCUUGUCGGGUAAGUUCCGACCUGCACGAAUGGCGUAAUGAUGGCCAGGCUGUCUCCACCCGAGACUCAGUGAAAUUGAACUCGCUGUGAAGAUGCAGUGUACCCGCGGCAAGACGGAAAGACCCCGUGAACCUUUACUAUAGCUUGACACUGAACAUUGAGCCUUGAUGUGUAGGAUAGGUGGGAGGCUUUGAAGUGUGGACGCCAGUCUGCAUGGAGCCGACCUUGAAAUACCACCCUUUAAUGUUUGAUGUUCUAACGUGGACCCGUGAUCCGGGUUGCGGACAGUGUCUGGUGGGUAGUUUGACUGGGGCGGUCUCCUCCUAAAGAGUAACGGAGGAGCACGAAGGUUGGCUAAUCCUGGUCGGACAUCAGGAGGUUAGUGCAAUGGCAUAAGCCAGCUUGACUGCGAGCGUGACGGCGCGAGCAGGUGCGAAAGCAGGUCAUAGUGAUCCGGUGGUUCUGAAUGGAAGGGCCAUCGCUCAACGGAUAAAAGGUACUCCGGGGAUAACAGGCUGAUACCGCCCAAGAGUUCAUAUCGACGGCGGUGUUUGGCACCUCGAUGUCGGCUCAUCACAUCCUGGGGCUGAAGUAGGUCCCAAGGGUAUGGCUGUUCGCCAUUUAAAGUGGUACGCGAGCUGGGUUUAGAACGUCGUGAGACAGUUCGGUCCCUAUCUGCCGUGGGCGCUGGAGAACUGAGGGGGGCUGCUCCUAGUACGAGAGGACCGGAGUGGACGCAUCACUGGUGUUCGGGUUGUCAUGCCAAUGGCACUGCCCGGUAGCUAAAUGCGGAAGAGAUAAGUGCUGAAAGCAUCUAAGCACGAAACUUGCCCCGAGAUGAGUUCUCCCUGAGACUU
rnacentral:rRNA from 1 species